rnacentral:rRNA from 1 species
GAGUUUGAUUCUGGCUCAGGAUGAACGCUGGCGGCGUGCUUAACACAUGCAAGUCGAACGAAGCGGGAAGGAAGAAGUUUUUCGAAAUGGAUUUUUUCUUUGCUUAGUGGCGGACGGGUGCGUAACACGUAGGUAACCUACCCUGUGCUUCGGAAUAACUCCGGGAAACCGGUGCUAAUGCCGAAUAAUAUCGCCUGUCGGCAUCGAGAGGCGAUCAAAGAAUUUUGGCACAGGAUGGGCCUGCGCCGGAUUAGCUGGUUGGUGAGGUAACGGCUCACCAAGGCGACGAUCCGUAGCCGACCUGAGAGGGUGAUCGGCCACACUGGAACUGAGACACGGUCCAGACUCCUACGGGAGGCAGCAGUGGGGAAUAUUGCACAAUGGGGGAAACCCUGAUGCAGCAACGCCGCGUGAGCGAUGAAGGCUUUCGAGUCGUAAAGCUCUGUCCUAUGGGAAGAUGAUGACGUACCAUAGGAGGAGCCCC